AGAGUUUGAUCCUGGCUCAGAACGAACGCUGGCGGCGUGUCUUAAGCAUGCAAGUCGAACGAGAACCCGGAGCUUGCUUCGGGGGGCAGUGGCGCACGGGUGAGUAACACGUGGGUAAUCUACCCUCGGGUGGGGGAUAGCACUAGGAAACUAGUGAUAAUACCGCAUAAUGUCGCCUUGUCACAAGACAGGGUGAACAAAGGCGCCCUCUGUAUAUGGUGCCGUCUGAGGAUGAGCCCGCGGCCUAUUAGCUAGUUGGUAGGGUAACGGCCUACCAAGGCGACGAUGGGUAGCCGGCCUGAGAGGGUGUUCGGCCACAUUGGGACUGAGACACGGCCCAGACUCCUACGGGAGGCAGCAGCUAAGAAUAUUCCGCAAUGGGCGAAAGCCUGACGGAGCGACGCCGCGUGGAGGAUGAAGGCCUUCGGGUUGUAAACUCCUUUUCCUGGGGAAGAAUAAAGCCGGUAGUAACUGACCGGUUGAUGACGGUACCCAGGGAAUAAGCCCCGGCUAAUUACGUGCCAGCAGCCGCGGUAAUACGUAUGGGGCGAGCGUUGUUCGAAUUUACUGGGCGUAAAGGGCUUGUAGGUGGUGGGAUAAGUCGGACGUGAAAUCCCCGGGCUUAACCCGGGAACUGCAUUCGAAACUAUCUCGCUAGAGUACCGGAGAGGGAAACGGAAUUCCUGGUGUAGGGGUGAAAUCUGUAGAUAUCAGGAAGAACACCGGUGGCGAAGGCGGUUUCCUGGCCGGAUACUGACACUGAGGA
rnacentral:rRNA from 1 species